rnacentral:rRNA from 1 species
UUUUUGGUCAAGUUAUGAAGGGCAUACGGUGGAUGCCUUGGUGCCAGCAAGCGAUGAAGGACGUGGCAAGCUGCGAUAAGCCUCGGUGAGGAGCAAACAUCCUUUGACCCGAGGAUUUCCGAAUGAGGCAACCCCGCGCGGGUCAUGCCGCGCGAUCCCUGGCUGAAUAAAAUAGGCCGGGCGAGGCGAACGGAGGGAACUGAAACAUCUCAGUACCUCCAGGAAUGGAAAGCAAAAGCGACUUCCCUAGUAGCGGCGAGCGAACGGGAACUAUGCCUAAACCGAGCUGUACGUUAAAGCCCGUGCGCGUUGUGCAGCCGGUGUCGUGGGGCCCAAUCUGACCGGGGUACGGCCUGGUCGGGGAGUUACAAACCUUAACUCUAGCCGAACGGCCUGGGAAGGCCGACCAUAGCGGGUGAUAGUCCCGUAGGCGAAAGGGUGAGGGCUCCCUGGAAUGGGUACCCAAGUACCGCGGGACACGAGGAAUCCCGUGGGAAUCUGGGAGGACCACCUCUCAAGGCUAAGUAUUCGCUGGCGACCGAUAGCGAACCAGUACCGUGAGGGAAAGGUGAAAAGAACUCCUGGCGGAGAGUGAAAUAGAACCUGAAACCGUGUGCCUACAAGCGGUCGGAGGGUCCUGUGCAAGCUUCGGCUUGUGCGGGCCUAACGGCGUGCCUUUUGCAUAAUGAACCGGCGAGUUGCUAGAGCGUAGCGAGGUUAAGCGUCUAUGACGCGGAGCCGGAGCGAAAGCGAGUCUUAAUCGGGCGAAUAUAGUUGCGCUCUGCAGACCCGAAGCCGAGUGAUCUACACAUGGCCAGGCUGAAGCGCGUGUAGCAAUGCGUGAAGGGCCGAACCAGUAAGCGUUGAAAAGCUUUUGGAUGAGCUGUGUGUAGGGGUGAAAGGCCAAUCAAACUCGGAGAUAGCUGGUUCUCCCCGAAAUAGCUUUAGGGCUAGCCUCGGGCAAUAGAGUGACGGAGGUAGAGCACUGAUUGGGCUAGGGGGUUCCACCGACCUACCGAUCCCAGUCAAACUCCGAAUGCCGUUAUCUCGAUACCCGGGAGUCAGCGUGCGGGUGCUAAGAUUCGCAUGCGAGAGGGAAACAACCCAGACCAACAGCUAAGGUCCCUAAGUAUUGGCUAAGUGCUUUAAGGAUGUGGGAUUGCCCAGACAGCUGGGAUGUUGGCUUAGAAGCAGCCAUCCAUUUAAAGAGUGCGUAAUUGCUCCACCAGUCAAGCGGCCCCGCGCCGAGAAUUGUCGGGACUAAGCCAGUCACCGAAGCUUUGGAUUCGCCCUUCGGGGCGUCUGGUAGGGGAGCGUUCCGUUGUAGGGUGAAGCUGGAUCGUGAGAUCUGGUCGACGAAACGGAAGUGAUCAUGCCGGUACGAGUAGCGAGAAAGCAGGCGAGAAACCUGCUCACCGAAAGCCUAAGGUUUCCUGAGGAAGGUUAAUCCGCUCAGGGUUAGUCGGGACUAAGCCGAGGCCGACAGGCGUAGGCGAUGGAAAACGGGUCAAUAUUCCCGUACCACUGAUAGUGCGACAAAGACGCUAUGGGGUGACGCAGGAGUGAAAGGUCAGCCGGGUGUUGGAAGUCCCGGUCUAAGCGUGUAGGGGGGCUGCGUAGGUAAAUCCGCGCGGCCACUACCUCGAGACGCGAUGGGGAGUCCCUUUGGGACAUAAACUGAUCCUAAUCAUGCUGCCAAGAAAAGCCUCUAUGCGAGUACUGUCGGUGCCCGUACCGCAAACCGACACAGGUAGGCGGGGAGAGAAUCCUAAGGUGCUCGAGAGAACGGUGGUUAAGGAACUCGGCAAAAUGACCCCGUAACUUCGGGAUAAGGGGUGCCCUUUGCGGUGAACUCUUUACGAGGUAAGCUGCGAGGGGCCGCAGAGAAUCGGCCUGAGCGACUGUUUACUAAAAACACAGGUCUCUGCCAAGCCGUAAGGCAACGUAUAGGGACUGACACCUGCCCGGUGCCGGAAGGUUAAGGGGAUGCGUUAGCACUUCGGUGCGAAGCGUUGAGCCGAAGCCCCGGUAAACGGCGGCCGUAACUAUAACGGUCCUAAGGUAGCGAAAUUCCUUGUCGGGUAAGUUCCGACCUGCACGAAUGGUGUAACGACUUGGGCGCU